AUGGUAAAGUUCAUUUAAUCCACAGCUGGACUGGGGGCUUAAAUGAGGACCUGGAGAGACUGGCUCUGUCCGGGUCAGAUCUUGCCUCUGAUUUCCUCUCCCCAGCUGGUGGCUCAGGUGGCCACUCCAUGUCCAGCCUUUCAUAACACUCAUUUAGCCAUCCCAAGGGAAGGAAGUGCCUCUUUCCCAGCAGAUACAGGACAAGUCCUAAGAUCAGUGUUCAUUGACCUUUGCUCACCUCAUGUCCCAUUCCAGAGUAAAUCCCUAAGGGGCAGGGGCGGAGUGAGAAGAGGAGGGGGAGGGAGUUAGGACAGACAAGGUCUGCAUCCUAAAUCCACCCCCAGAGACAGAGGAAGACUUCAACCCCAUCCUAGAACACAGUGAGAGAAAGACUGGGUAGCAAUUCUCUCUCAAAGGAGAUUAAGGUCCUAAUUCCAAGGAAAGAAAAAAGGUGUACCAAGCAGGACAAACAACAGAUGUGUACUAUUCAUGCAUUUACAUAAUCAGACUUUGUCUCCUUAAAAAAUAUAUAAUCUUGACUUUCAAAACCCCUGAUGAAUGACAAUUUGACAGAGAUUUUUGGCCUUUUUUUUUUUCAAGGACACUAGCUUAGAUCCUUUUGUUCCCAGUGUUGACUCUGGAGGAUUGAGAAGAAACAAGCAAAACAAAGUAUUAAGCACAUAGCUUCUUGGUUGUUUUCAUGUUCAUUAAAUCUGCUUUCACCCGUGCAUAAACACCUAAUUCUCUACUGAGAUGCCAAGAUAUCAGGAGCAUAAAAGUCUGAAAGUACCUAAAACAAAAAUUCUCCUUUAUAACAGCACAAUUUUAUUAGUGCUAUAAGCAGCCAAAUCCAGUUCUCUAAAAAUCAACUUAUUUGAAAGCCAAUGGACACUCUGCAAAAUGAAAAAAAAAAAAAAAUCAGAAAUGAGGAAUCAGUGAUCUUUUUUAUACCCCUGACCUUAACCCUCAUGUUAAACAAUUUCACAUAGAGGCUGGAAAAACUAAAUUAAAACAUAAAUUCUGUUUUAAGCUAAAGGAAGCGAGGGCCUAUAGUCAUUGCCUAACACAUUCCAGGUUAUUUGUAAGACUGAACACAAUUCUUUUCUGAAAACAACAACAAAAAUAGCCUUUAUAAAAAAUAAAUUUGACAAACACCACCAAACAGGACCUUAAUAUUUCUAAAAGUUCUACUUGUAAAGGGAAGCAUUCAAAAUUGCAGAUUAAUACAGGUGUGUUCACCCAAAGUCAGUCCUAACAGUAUCACAGUCCUAUCUUUUUUUCCUACUAGCAUUGUUUUCUCACUCAGAUAAGAACAAAACAACAAGAGAGACUCAUGUGCAGCUUCACACACAGUGAA
rnacentral:lncRNA from 1 species